GUGCAGUGGUGAUAAGAGUUUGAGCUGAAUGAACAAGUGUGACGUAACUAUAUGAUAAGCAGACAUGUGUGCUAAUCUAGAAGUAAGAAGGUAAAGCAGCCAGGAACAGUAUAAAAACUUGAGGCUCACGGCCAGAAGACAUUCUCAAAAUGACUUGCUAGACAUGCUGUCAGAGCAGUCAUAGAGAAUCCAAUGAACCAGCAACUUGACAGCUGAGACCUUCCAAGAGCCAGAGAACUAGCUCUUGCCUGCGGAUCAAGACUUGCUGAUCCAGAGGUCUACGUCGAAAGUCAUGAACCAUUAUCAGGAUACUUUUGUCUAGAUAUGACAGCACUGUGGAUAGUUUGUUCAUUUCCUAAUACUGUGGACAUCAUCAAAGACUUGCUGAACUUGCCUUAAUUUUUUUCUAAGGACACAUGAACUUCAUAAAAAGAACUCAUGGAAUUGAGCAGGAUGUGACCUGAAAGCCUUCCCUCUGAGGACCAGCUUUUACAGUAGUGGAAACUGCAUUGCAAGAUUUCAAGGGAGGAAAGAAGCAAUAGUAUUACCCAGCUGUGAAGUCUAUGAACCACAACAAUAAUGCCCAGCAUGGCAAGCUGUACCUAAAAGUGCAAUAAUGGCAUUGAUAGCUUGAAAAUAGCCAACAGCUGUUUAAUAGCACAUACUACCUGCUCAACAGGAGAGAAAUUGUGCCUGGUACUGGAAACUUAAUCAAAUACCCAGUACUAGUGAUUUCAUGGAUCAUAGAGGAGAAUCUACCACUAUCAGUUUACUAAACCAGCAUGAUUCUUAACUUCAUACUAAAUAUUUAUCCUUAUAUCCACAGGUAUAUUUCCCAACCCUCAUGAAAAAAAAUGUUUCUCUCUGCAACAGAUUGAGACAAUCACAAAACAACAACAAUAAAUCCUCCACUACUGUUCAAAAUAUAGAGAAAAUGGAUUAUGGGGAACCCAUCACCAGGGGAUACAACUAGAAACCAAUCCCUAUAGCUAAGAGUCAGAAGACUAGGAAAUCUGUAAGAGGGUAUCUCCUAGAAAUGCCAGGGAAACUCUAUCAGUAAGCGCUCAAAAUUAUGGCUGCCUAAACAAUGACUGAACAAGGACAGCAUGGAUAUACAUCAUGGAUAUUCAAACAUGGAAGGGGAAAAGCUAACAGAGACCUACCCCAUGAGCUACAGGCAGCUAAAAGGCACUGAAAGUAGAAGGAGUAGUCUUCCCACUUUGAGGAAUAUUUGAGUUGGUUAUCCAAAACCAAGUUUCAGUCCUGAAAUCAUAACAUUCAACAUUAAAUGGACUCAGAAGGGUAUACCAAUAUAUCUAUGCACAUAUAUAUAUAUAGUAUGUACAUAGAUUGCAUAUAUUUGUAUGUAUGUAUAAUAAAUAAGAGAAGACCAUGAGUUUGAAAGGGGUUGGGGCAUAAAAAUUCUAGUAAGGAAAGGGAAC